rnacentral:snRNA from 1 species
GUGCUUACUUUGCCAGCACAUAUAUAAAAUUGAAAUGAUACAGAAAAGGUUAGCAUGGCCCCUGUGCAAGGAUGACACGCAAAUUUGUGGAGUAUUCCAUAUAAGA